rnacentral:misc_RNA from 1 species
UUUCCGUAGGUGAACCUGCGGAAGGAUCAUUAUUGAAUGAAACACUUCUGGCUCUAUGCUGUUGUCCUGGUCCUUUGUGCAAUGUGCACACGGCUCUGGUCACUUGUUUCUUCUGUUCCACCUGUGCACUUCCUGUAGACACACUGUGUCUAUGAUAUUUGUUAACCCACAACAAUGUUAGUUGGCAUGUUAUAUAUAAUAAUAAAAUAUACAACUUUCAACAACGGAUCUCUUGGCUCUC